CAGUGAGGAAACCUGUGCUCAUGGUGGAAGUUGUGCAUGAAAUCCAGAAAAAUGGAAUUUCCCCCAAAUAGCAAAUGCAGUAGAGGUGGCCUUGGCAGGGACCCCUGUGGCUUCCCUCCCGGUUUAUAACCCAACACCCUCUCCACGUGCUGUUUGCUUCAGCAGAACAACAUCCGUCUCCAGGCUCAGAACCCUCCAGUGACCAUGAUCGUGUCACUUCCUUUCCCCAGAUGGGCCAGCAACUUCACAGUCACAAGUUUUGCCAUCUGUGCAAAGACAAGUAUCAACACAUUCUCUCUCACUCCUGCUCCUGACACUUCCUAUACCUGAGAACAGCACUUAUGUGCGUGCCAUUUCUCCUUACCAGAAUGUAAGCACCUUAAAGUUAUCGCCUGGUUUAAUUAUCUUUUUCUUUCCUUUUUUUGCUCUUUUCUGGCCACACCCAUGGCAUAUGGAAAUUCCCAGGUGAGGGGUCGAAUCAGAGCUGUAGCCGCUGGCCUACACCACAGCCACAGCAACUGUGACCAAGCUGUGUCUGUGACUUACCACUGCUCAAAGCAACGCCAGAGUGUUAACCCACUGAGUGAGGCCAAGGAUCGAACCUGUAACUUCAUGAAAACUAUGUCAAGUUCUUAAUCCACUGAGCCACAACAGGAACACCUAAUCCAUCUUUAAAAAAACAAAACAAACAAACAAAAAAACACCCAAAAGAUCAAUGUUUCAUGUGUGUUCAACAGGUACAGACCUGGGUCUGAAGGAACAGCCACAGCCCCAAACCUUGGGAGCCUCAGAUGAUUAUAGGACUGGUACCCUUAGGAAAAAGGAAGAGUGUAUUUAAUAGAAAAUGAAGCAUCACCAUCUUUAAGUAUGAAGACUGCGUUUCCGAGAUCAUUUGGAUUAUGCAGUUUUAACGCUCCUCAUCUAACAUCAGUGCAUAUAGAUUUAGGGUCCACAAGCACACAAGAUGCAGGGGCUCAGAGAACUGCCUGAUGAACAUAGAUCAAGACCAUCAGUAAGUCUUCCCGAAGGAGGUUGUCCAGGUCCCAGCUUUAGGAAAGGAAAGAGCAAUGAGUAAAACUUACAUGGCAAAGAGCAACUUGCAGUUAUGAGACACGGACAAGAAUCACAGUCUGUGUGGACACUCUAGCAAUAAAACAAAAGGAAACAAAACAACGAAUCCUAGGUCUCCACACCUAAUUUAUGGUAGAAGGAAAGACGAGGGUGGAGGUCUAGAUCUGGAUGAUGAUGCUGGUGAUGGUUGGUGCAGAGGAAGGAAUGAAAGUGGAAGUAGCUGGAUGGGGAGAAACACUCAAAGCUCCCCAAGGGGAAAUGGUACUUGCAGCUUCAGAGGGAAAUGGGCCUUGCUUUGGCAAAUGUGAGCUCUUCCUAUGACCAAUUGAGUUGGCUUUUUUCCUCUCCCUCUGCAAACCCACCCUUACUCGCCCAGAGUAGACGUGUAAAGUAGGAAUACAAGGGACAUGUGACACUCAAGCUUACAUCUUCCAGGUCAAGGCGAGGAGACUGAGGCCCAAAGAGAUGUAGGGCAGCUGAAGUUUCUCCUCUUCCUUUUGGCUGAGCUUUGGUGGGAAGCUGAGUAGUCAGCCCCAAUGGAUGCUUACAGACCCUCAGUUAGAGCUGACUUGGGAAAUGCCCUUCUCUCCAGCUGGUAUGAAUUCUUAGAAACAUUGCAAUUAUAAGGCUUCAAAGGAUUUAAAAACCUGGCAUUUAGUAGCUUAUGCAGAGAACAAUUAUACACUUUUUUGAGGUCUUGAGGAUCUCUCAGUCUCUUUUGGUCUUCGUUUGCUUUCUAUUAAAAGAAACUCACUGCUUCUCAGGUCCAAGAAGGGGAAGUAAUAUGGACCUGUGGUAGUUAUGUUGGCAUACACUGUCCCUUUCAAUUUAUUUGAAUUCUCCCCAUAAUCAGGAGAGUAGAUAUUUUUAUCCCAAUUACACAAAUGAGGGAAAUGAUAUUCUCACAUAAACGCUCAGGUCACACAAUCAGGAAGGGGGAGAGAUGCAAUGUGAAGUCUAGCGUAACUGAUCAUAAGGCUCUGUGAUCUGUCUGCAAGAUAACAUAUCUUCUGGGAGGAUGGAGUUUUGGGGAGAGGUCAGGACUUGGGAAGUAUUGAGGAAUAGUGGCUUCUGAGACUAGGAGAGACUGCCGAUAAAUGCAGUUAUAUCUAAAAAGCUAAGAGGGAGGAUCGUUAAGGCUAUUGAGUACAGCCAAUUAUUUGUAUUUCUGUGUCUUUCAUUUCAAUUAUCCACAUGAUUUCCGGGCCCCAGGACCAUGCACAAUUGAGUUUUAUUAGAUAGUGUGUUUUAUUGACUAGAAGCAGACAAUAUGGAUUUUAUGAGAUAGAAAUAGCACUGUGCCAGACC
rnacentral:lncRNA from 1 species